rnacentral:rRNA from 1 species
GACGGUGUUGAUUGCAAUGAGGUCCCACCCGUUCCCAUUCCGAACACGGAAGUUAAGCUCAUUAACGUCGAAAAUACUUGGUUGGCGACGACCUGGGAAGAUAGAAAGAUGCCGUCA